rnacentral:misc_RNA from 1 species
GAUAGAACUUAGAAUCCCACAUUGGUUAGGUCGGUUAGGCCAUCGGGGAAUGGACUGGUGUUCUGCUUAUAUGUACUAGGUCAAUCCUCCGCUUAUGAGCUAGCUUUUGGUUUGCAGCACACAAUGAAGAAAUAAGGUGCAAUUCUUCAUAAAGAACACUUGAUUAUUUCUAUUUUUAGUGGAGCUCCAAUGGGAAGAUAGAAAAC